rnacentral:lncRNA from 1 species
UCGGUUUAGUAGUGUGUCGGUACUAAAAACUCCCUCUACGACUUAGCUGUUGUCCGCAACCCGGCUUCAUGGCAAGCUAGAGUAUGAGUAUGAAAUUACUGAACACAUGAAAAACGAUUGCAGAGACAAGCAAAUAAGCGAGCCGAGAUGCACACUAUUUUACCUAACCCAGCAUUUCCUUCCUGUCUCGGGCAUUUCCAAGCGAGUUUUUUGAGUUUAAGUUUUUUUUUUGAAAGGUCUGUUUGUCGUACCGGUGGCCCACGGAGUCCCACUGAUACGGGACGCGUGGGUCAUCAGUGAUGCAGCCCCAUCA